GGUGUGUAGGAAAUUUUGGUAAAGAGAGAAAGAAGUAAGAAGUCUUUGAGGCAAAUUCUAGCUGGCAAGACAUAACAAAAGUAAGAUCUGGUUUUAUUUUUAGUUUUUUUUUCUUUUUCUUUCUUUCUUUUUAACGCAGCUAGUUUGAAAGUUGGUUUCUGGCAAGAGGAGAGAAAAGGCUGCAACACUAAAGGAAGAUUCAAAGUGUUAAAAGGACGCUCAAAGUGUAGUAUUGUGGCAGGUCGGGGAAGAAGAAAACAUCAAUAUCCCGAAGGAAUGGAGAUGUUUCUAUGGAAAACCUAGGAAUUUUAGUCCAUAACAGAUCUGGCGUAAAAAAAAUCAAAGAGAUCAAAGGCAGA
rnacentral:lncRNA from 1 species